UUCUCCAAAGAGCAAAGAGUGUUAAGUCCACACGAGUGGUAACGGCUUGCGUUUACCUCGCUUUUAGCAAGCAACGCUUUGCACCCCAGAGGCAGCCCGGCUGGGAAGUGCAGGCCCGGGUGUCCGGGGAACCACCGUGCCCAGCUGGGGCGGCUCACCCGCCCGGAGUCCGGCCCCCGGAGGAUGGGAGCGUGCGCGAACGCAGGCGGAGACCUCGGGGACUGCGGACAGACAACCACAGCCCUGACCUUCCGACGCGCCCAUCCUGACCCCUCUGGGCCCAUCGGUGCAGGAGGGCGCGCGAGUGAGGUGGUUAUCCUUUAGUACUGCCUCGCUGGAAAACCAGCAAAGAAAGUCCUGUUGCCACCUAGACAAUAGGUAAGGAGGGUCUUCCAACGGCGAUGACCUUCGCCUGGACAGCGGUAUCCUGCGGGCGACCUUGGGCCGGGAGGCCAGGGCUCCAAGCUUACCUCGGACACCAACGCUGUGCAAGUCUCCAGGCCAAGCUAUACAAGAAGCAUGGCACCAGCAUCUGCUUCUGGUGAGCAGCUCAGGCUGCUUCCAUUCCUGGUGAAAGGGAAAGGGGAGCUGACUUGUGCAGAGAUCACUUCCAAGAGGGAAAUCGAGAGAGAGGUGGGAGGUACCACGCUCUUUUUAAUGUCCAGUUAUCUUGGGAGCUAACCGAGUAAGAACUCACUGAUACCUACUACCCCCAUCCUCCAUCUCUUCGUGAAAAGUCUGCCCCCAAGAUCCAUACACCUCCCAUUAGGCCCCCCUUUUAACACUGAGGAUCACAUUUCAACAUGAGAUUUGGAGGGGGCAACCAAACCAUGUCAAACUAUAGGAGCGGUAAAUUGACAACAUCUACUUACUCAUUCAAAAGAAAUAGUGGGUAAAAACGUGAGAUGAUCCAUGGAUGUUUCAGCUUUUCUGUCACUGACCCUGCUUACUGAAAAGCAAUAAAUUCCUUCCUAACUUAAAUAAAGUAAUGGCAGAUAUGCCUAAGGCCGCAAAUC